rnacentral:rRNA from 1 species
UACGGGGGGUGCGAGCGUUGUCCGGAAUUACUGGGCGUAAAGCGCGCGUAGGUGGCCAUGUAAGUCCGCUGUGAAAGUCAAAGGCUCAACCUUUGAAAGCCGGUGGAUACUGCAUGGCUAGAGUACGGAAGAGGCGAGUGGAAUUCCUGGUGUAGCGGUGGAAUGCGCAGAUAUCAGGAGGAACACCAAUAGCGAAGGCAGCUCGCUGGGACGUUACUGACACUGAGGCGCGAAAGCGUGGGGAGCGAACAGG